AAAGGAAUAGACGGGAGCCCGCACAAGCAGUGGAGUAUGUGGUUUAAUUCGACGCAACGCGAAAAACCUUACCAAGGAUUGACAUCCUGAGAAUACCGAGUAAUGUUGGUAGUGCCUCUUCGGAGGAACUCAGAGACAGGUGGUGCAUGGUUGUCGUCAGCUCGUGUCGUGAGAUGUUGGGUUAAGUCCCGCAACGAGCGCAACCCUUACUGUUAGUUGCUACGCAAGAGCACUCUGGCAGGACUGCCGUUGACAAAACGGAGGAAGGUGGGGACGACGUCAAAUCAUCAUGCCCCUUAUAUCUUGGGCUACACACGUACUACAAUGGCGCAAACAAAGGGUCGCAAUCCCGCGAGGGGGAGCAAAUCCCAUAAAAGGCGUCCCAGUUCGGACUGCAGGCUGCAACUCGCCUGCACGAAGUUGGAAUUGCUAGUAAUCGCGGAUCAGCAUGCCGCGGUGAAUACGUUCCCGGGCUUUGUACACACCGCCCGU
rnacentral:rRNA from 1 species